rnacentral:lncRNA from 1 species
AUGGAGAGGAAGUUGUUUGGUCUUGUUUUGAUCUUGGUCAUCCUUCUAACUUCUCGUAAGUACUCUCUCUCUCCUCUCUCCUCUUUGUAACAAUAAUUGAUAAAUGAAUUAAUUAAUAUUUGUGGUUAAUAUCGCAGAAGAGAUGGUGAUGCAGAGUGAAGCUAAGAUUUGUGAAGUGACAAGCAAAACAUUCAUAGGGCUAUGCAUCAAAGACAGAAACUGUAUGGUGAGAUGCCACAGUGAGGGUUAUGGUUAUGGCAAAUGCUCCCAUAUCCUACGCAAGUGCCGCUGCCUUAAGCCUUGCGUGGCUGAAGAAACUAAGGAAAACUUGCCAUAA